AUUUCUCUGAGAUGUUCGUCAGCGGGCAAGUCCCCUGAGCCGAUAUUUCAACCAACAGAAUGUAACGAUCCGUAGUUGGUGAGCACGCUCGGUUCGGCCGAGAAGCCUUAAGAUUGCGACGUUGCGUUCACCUUGAACCAAGGGUUCAAGGGUUACAGCCUGCGGCGGCAUCUCGGAGAUUCC
rfam:Dickeya dadantii 3937, complete genome.